ACUGGUCCGGCUGGACCUUUCCUUCUGGGGAACCCCAUGGCCUUCACUGGCUGUGGGGGGAACCAGGACUUUUACUGUGAAAAAAUUAGAGUGUUCAAAGCAGGCCUUUGCUCGAAUACAUUAGCAUGGAAUAAUAGAAUAGGACGUGCGGUUCUAUUUUGUUGGUUUCUAGGACCGCCGUAAUGAUUAAUAGGGAUAGUCGGGGGCGUCAGUAUUCAGCUGUCAGAGGUGAAAUUCUUGGAUUUGCUGAAGACUAACUACUGCGAAAGCAUUCGCCAAGGAUGUUUUCAUUAAUCAGGGAACGAAAGUUAGGGGAUCGAAGACGAUCAGAUACCGUCGUAGUCUUAACCAUAAACUAUGCCGACUAGGGAUCGGACGGUGUUUCUAUUAUGACCCGUUCGGCACCUUACGAGAAAUCAAAGUUUUUGGGUUCUGGGGGGAGUAUGGUCGCAAGGCUGAAACUUAAAGAAAUUGACGGA
rnacentral:rRNA from 1 species